CAAUUAUUUCUUUACUUUCAGGUAUUGAAUGCUAUGCUAAAAGAAGUCUGUACCGCUUUGUUGGAAGCAGAUGUUAAUAUUAAACUAGUGAAGCAACUAAGAGAAAAUGUUAAGUCUGCUAUUGAUCUUGAAGAGAUGGCAUCUGGUCUUAACAAAAGAAAAAUGAUUCAGCAUGCUGUAUUUAAAGAACUUGUGAAGGUUGUAGACCCAGGAG